rnacentral:rRNA from 1 species
GCAGCCGCCACGGGAAUACGUAGGGCGCAAGCGUUAUCCGGAAUUAUUGGGCGUAAAGAGCUCGUAGGCGGUUUGUCGCGUCUGCCGUGAAAGUCCGGGGCUCAACCCCGGAUCUGCGGUGGGUACGGGCAGACUAGAGUGAUGUAGGGGAGACUGGAAUUCCUGGUGUAGCGGUGAAAUGCGCAGAUAUCAGGAGGAACACCGAUGGCGAAGGCAGGUCUCUGGGCAUUAACUGACGCUGAGGAGCGAAAGCAUGGGGAGCGAACAGGAUUAGAUACCCCCGUAGUCCCUGUCUCUUAUAC